rnacentral:rRNA from 1 species
UACGAAGGGGGCUAGCGUUGUUCGGAAUCACUGGGCGUAAAGGGUGCGUAGGCGGGUCUUUAAGUCAGGGGUGAAAUCCUGGAGCUCAACUCCAGAACUGCCUUUGAUACUGAAGAUCUUGAGUUCGGGAGAGGUGAGUGGAACUGCGAGUGUAGAGGUGAAAUUCGUAGAUAUUCGCAAGAACACCAGUGGCGAAGGCGGCUCACUGGCCCGAUACUGACGCUGAGGCACGAAAGCGUGGGUAGCAAACAGG